rnacentral:rRNA from 1 species
UACGUAGGCAGCGAGCGUUGUUCGGAGUUACUGGGCGUAAAGCGUGCGUAGGCGGUGCCAUAAGUCUGUUGUGAAAUCUCCCGGCUUAACUGGGAGGGUGCGGUGGAAACUGUGGUGCUGGAGUGUGGGAGAGGUAGGCGGAAUUCCAGGUGUAGCGGUGAAAUGCGUAGAUAUCUGGAGGAACACCGGUGGCGAAGGCGGCAUCCUGGACCGAAAUUGACGCUGAGGCGCGAAAGCCAGGGGAGCAAACGGG